UACGGGGGGGGCAAGCGUUGUUCGGAAUUACUGGGCGUAAAGGGCUCGUAGGCGCCAACUAAGUCAGACGUGAAAUCCCUCGGCUUAACCGGGGAACUGCGUCUGAUACUGGUUGGCUUGAAUCCGGGAGAGGGAUGUGGAAUUCCAGGUGUAGCGGUGAAAUGCGUAGAUAUCUGGAGGAACACCGGUGGCGAAGGCGGCAUCCUGGACCGGUAUUGACGCUGAGGAGCGAAAGCCAGGGGAGCAAAGCGGG
rnacentral:rRNA from 1 species